rnacentral:rRNA from 1 species
UACGUAGGGGGCAAGCGUUGUCCGGAUUUAUUGGGCGUAAAGAGCGUGUAGGCGGCCAGACAGGUCAGCUGUGAAAACUCGAGGCUCAACCUCGAGACGUCGGCGGAAACCAUCUGGCUAGAGUCCGGAAGAGGAGACUGGAAUUUACGGUGUAGCGGUGAAAUGCGUAGAUAUCGUAAGGAAGACCAGUGGCGAAGGCGGGUCUCUGGACAGUUCCUGACGCUGAGGCACGAAGGCCAGGGGAGCAAACGGG